GUCUUGCUCAUGAGUCCCACAAUAGGACGAAACGGUCGUCCAGUAU
rnacentral:hammerhead_ribozyme from 1 species